CUCGCACGCCGCCACCGCUCGCCCUUGCGCUGCCUCCGCCUCAGCUCGCCCUCGCGCCGCCGCCGCCGCCGCCUCCGCCUCCACUCGCCCUCGUCUCUCCUCAUCAGGAGGAGCGCGGCUCACCGCCGUCCCUCGCAAGAGAGGUCAGGGUUAGGGUCUCGGCCCGGGGUGGCUACUGCGGAGCUCCUGGCGGGCUACCUCCUCUGCCUGCUCGCGCUCGCGGCGGCCAAGGCGACCACACUGCUCUGGGUCACGCGUCGUCGCUCCGCUCCACGACGCCACGCCGCUCCCCCGCGCCUCCUCCCGGUCCUCCAGGUCCACUCUCCCGCGCAGCUCCCCCGCUCCUUCCUCCCAGUCCUAAAAUCCUUUCUUCCCCCCCAUGAGCGCAGGAAGAAGAGGAUGCAGACGAAGCAAGGCUUUGGCAUUCCGUUCCACCAAGUUCUUCCAGCAUGAGGUACACAAAGAUGAUGAGGUCAGAGCCUUGUUUAAGCAAGUGCAAGGAGAAGUCCCUGGAUUGCCUAUAAUUGUUAUGAAGGUGGCAUCUCAGAGAUGACAUCUAGAGGAUCAGUUGCUCUGUGACAAGCAUGGCAACGUGGCAUCACUGCAAAGUCGAGACUGUAGUGUUCAAAGAAGGCACCAAAAGCUGAAUUAGGGAAGGAUGCCGAAGUUACAUGUACACAACCCUUAUUCUGCUAACUAUGGCUCUCUUUUGGAGAUCGCUUGCCUUUUGGAAGUUGUUGGCCUUUGGUUACCCCAAGAGGAAUUUUUAUGGCUUGCUUCAUGGGCCGUAGCUCCUCCCUCCCUAGCCCCACUUUGUCUCCCCUGUGAUUUGCCUGUUCCUGAUCUUGGUGGCUGGCAUGUCUCAAAUUUUCAUUGGGCAGGGCUACUAACGUAAAGGAGCAAACUGGAAAUUCCACCUGCAUAUUUUAGGGUUCUUGCGGAUCAUGCUGGUCAUUCCUGGGCGCUGGAGUGGGCCAACUUCCUGACGAUGGGCAAGAUGGAGCUGAUCGGCUGCUCGGUGGUGACCAUGAGGUGAGGCGUGGUGCCAGCGGCAGCGGGUGCAGGAAGCAGCAACAUUAGAGAUGGGCGACGAGGCACACUGUUCACUCCCUCUGAAGGAAGAAUUGAUGUAGUAGCUAGCAUUCAUUUUUAGAUACUAUGCAUCUUUCUGAUUUUUUUGGCAGUAGAACGCUAUGUAUCUCUAAACAUCUGCAGUAGAGAGCUAUGUAUCUGUAAACAUUAAAGAUUGUUGCAUCAAAGAGCAGUAGCACCUCCUUGUCA